UUAUGUCAUCAGAUCCCUUGACUUCUCCUUGACCAGUGUGCUUCCUUCUGUUUACACCUGAAAGCUAAGUGGAAAAGAAAUAAAUGAGCCUUCAAAUGUAAGGUAUGGCUGGAAACAGGGGAGCUGCUGCUUGAAGACCUCUACCUGUGUAGCUCUGUUUGUACUUUCCAUCAUGUGCUCCCUGGGCUUUGC